rnacentral:rRNA from 1 species
UGCCAACGCUUUUAUUCGAAUAUCUUGCGUAGGCAAUCAUGGGGUUAAUCAAAUGGAAGCCAGGGUCUACUUGGAUGCAUGGACUGCCAGCUAAGAUACUUGAGAGGGGGGUUGAAUUCAAGGUUAGCGGUGGAAUCGUAGAGAUUUGAGGAAUACGUGGGGGAAGGGGGCCCUUGUCAGAUACUGACACUCAGAUCGGAAGCGUGGGGAGCAAACAAGAUAGAUACCUUGGUAGUCACGCAGUAAACGAUGUCUACUUGGAGGUUGUGGCCUUGAGCCGUGGCUUUCGAGCUAACGCGUUAAGUAGACGCCUGGGGAGUACGGUCGCAAGAUUAAAACUCAAAUGAAUUGACGGGGGCCCGCACAAGCGGUGGAGCAUGUGGUUUAAUUCGAUGCAACGCGAAGAACCUUACCUACUCUUGACAUCCAGAGAACUUUCCAGAGAUGGAUUGGUGCCUUCGGGAACUCUGAGACAGGUGCUGCAUGGCUGUCGUCAGCUCGUGUUGUGAAAUGUUGGGUUAAGUCCCGCAACGAGCGCAACCCUUAUCCUUGUUUGCCAGCGAGUAAUGUCGGGAACUCCAGGGAGACUGCCGGUGAUAAACCGGAGGAAGGUGGGGACGACGUCAAGUCAUCAUGGCCCUUACGAGUAGGGCUACACACGUGCUACAAUGGCGCAUACAGAGGGCAGCCAACUUGCGAGAGUGAGCGAAUCCCAAAAAGUGCGUCGUAGUCCGGAUCGGAGUCUGCAACUCGACUCCGUGAAGUCGGAAUCGCUAGUAAUCGUGGAUCAGAAUGCCACGGUGAAUACGUUCCCGGGCCUUGUACACACCGCCCGUCACACCAAGGGGGUGGGCUGCAAAAGAAGUAGGUAGUUUAAUUGUUCGGAGGACGCCACCUAGUCUACUACCGUUUUUUGCACCCCA